AUCCAGAAACAUUAUUUUAUUUUAAUCAUUGUUAAACGUUCACAUUAUUUUCUUAUAUUAAAUCAAAAUGCACAGUUUAAUAACGAUCACAGUUAUAGUUAUUGCAAUUUCAGUUACUAUACCACCUACUUCAGGUGAUGUGACGUGCGGACAAUAUUUUUGUUUAUGUUUUUUAAAGAGAUUUUGCACUUUUA